UAGUCCACGCCGUAAACGCUGUCUACUAGCUGUAUGUUGUUUUAUAACGAUGUGUGGCGAAGCUAACGCGCUAAGUAGACCGCCUGGGGAGUACGGCCGCAAGGGUUAAAACUCAAAUGAAUUGACGGGGGCCCGCACAAGCGGUGGAGCAUGUGGUUUAAUUCGAUGCAACGCGAAGAACCUUACCAGGACUUGACAUCCAGAGAACUUUCCAGAGAUGGAUUGGUGCCUUCGGGAACUCUGAGACAGGUGCUGCAUGGCUGUCGUCAGCUCGUGUCGUGAGAUGUUGGGUUAAGUCCCGCAACGAGCGCAACCCUUGUCCUUAGUUGCCAGCAUUAAGUUGGGCACUCUAAAGGAGACUGCCGGUGACAAACCGGAGGAAGGUGGGGAACGACGUCAAGUCAUCAUGGCCCUUACGUCCUGGGCUACACACGUGCUACAAUGGCAGGUACAGAGGGAAGCGAGACCGUGAGGUGGAGCGGAACCCUUAAAGCUUGUCGUAGUCCGGAUUGG
rnacentral:rRNA from 1 species